GACAGAGGGUGCGAACGUUGCUCGGAAUCAUUGGGCGUAAAGCGCGUGUAGGCGGCAUCGCACGUCGGGUGUGAAAGCCCGGGGCUCAACCCCGGCAGUGCACCCGAAACGACGAUGCUAGAGUGCUGGAGAGGCGGGUGGAAUUCCCGGUGUAGAGGUGAAAUUCGUAGAUAUCAGGAAGAACACCCGUGGCUAAGGCGGCUCUCUAGUACGGUACUGACGCUGAGACGCGAAAGCGUGGGGAGCGAACAGG
rnacentral:rRNA from 1 species